CUCCCACAAAGGUCAUCAGAAAGGGAAUGGUGCAAAGUGUGGGAACAUUGGAAGAGGAAGAACCGGCUGUGUGUCCUUAGGCAAAUUGCUUACCCUCUCUGAGCCCCCAUUGCCUGAUCUGUCAAAUGGGUCUGGAAAUCCCCACUUCCUCUGCUAUCGUGAAGUUCUGAGGGUACCCCUCACUCAAGCUCCAGGCGUCAGGAAAAGAACAUUCCACGAAGUCCAUCUGGAAGACGGUCCUUGUCCUUGUGCCCCCAGGUCUAGUUGCCAGGAGUGGCAGACACGGAAAGAAUCGGUGUCCCUGUUGACACACUUGAACUUCUCAGUGUACCCUGUCUGCACCCCAACCACUCCUGGGCUUCCAGCAAUGUGAGAUCAUUGACAGCCUUUUUGUGGAAGCUGAAUACGUCCUAGUAGAGGCUCCAGACAUGAGAACCAGGGGCUUUUGUCUUCAGCAGUGCAGACUGGGAAACUGAUGCUCAGAGACUAUUACGUCGUUGGAGACA